CAACGUGCAUCGCGAGCGUGACGAGGUUAAUCCGAGUGACUCCCGCUGAGGGGGUCUUUUGUCAGCUGUAAAUAGGCAGGCGAAUAAGGGGAGGGCAAGCCUGGUGUCAGCCGCCGCGGUAAUACCAGCUCCUCGAGUGGUCGGGGCGAUUAUUGGGCCUAAAGCAUCCGUAGCCGGUUCCGUAGGUCCUCUGUUAAAUCCAACCGCUCAACGGUUGACCUGCAGAGGAUACCGCGGGACUAGGAGGCGGGAGAGGCGGACGGUACUCCGCGUGUAGGGGUAAAAUCCUUUGAUCCGCGGAAGACCACCAGUGGCGAAGGCGGUCCGCCAGAACGCGCUCGACGGUGAGGGAUGAAAGCUGGGGGAGCGAACCGGAUUAGAUACCCGGGUAGUCCCAGCCGUAAACGAUGCUAGCUAGAUGAUUCAUUCGCAAGUCGCGAAUGAAGUGUCGCAGGGAAGCCGUUAAGCUAGCCGCCUGGGGAGUACGGUCGCAAGACU
rnacentral:rRNA from 1 species